rnacentral:rRNA from 1 species
AGCAGUCGCCACGGUAAUACGUAGGGUGCGAGCGUUAAUCGGAAUUACUGGGCGUAAAGCGUGCGCAGGCGGUUAUAUAAGACAGAUGUGAAAUCCCCGGGCUCAACCUGGGACCUGCAUUUGUGACUGUAUAGCUAGAGUACGGUAGAGGGGGAUGGAAUUCCGCGUGUAGUAGUGAAAUGCGUAGAUAUGCGGAGGAACACCGAUGGCGAAGGCAAUCCCCUGGACCUGUACUGACACUCAUGCACGAAAGCGUGGGGAGCAAACAGGAUUAGAUACCCCAGUAGUCCCUGUCUCUUAUAC